CCUCCCAAGUGCUGGGAUUAAAGGCGUGCGCCACCACCGGCCGGCUUUGUUUUAUUUUUAAUGUGGACAAUUAUGACAUCACAACGUGGGGAUCUGAGGCAGAUCCACUUUUCACUGGAAAACUCUUAAAUGGAAGCCUAGCACCUGCAUGGAUCCAUUGAGUCCAGACCAUCUGGUGUUGUUUUCUCAUGGAUUUUCCAGGGAACAUCUUUAUAAAGACCCUUCCAUGUACCGGGCUGGCAGAUACAAAGAGAUGCUUGUGUCUCUCAACCUGACUACCAGACUGUUGAAAGAAUGGACCCUAAGGACAUGGGGUUUCCUUUGGAAUCUCAUGCUGGGAGAUGGAAGGGGCACCAUCCAGAGGAGUAACUUGUCUCCCUGAAGGUUAUUUCAGUUUGAACAUCUUGUCAGACCACAUUAGAGGAUGAAGCUAAGACUCAGCUGAUGUUGAACCAAUGGCUUGUGUGGCUGUGUCAGGGUGUUCUGUGUAGCCUGGGUUAGCUGAAGAAAGAAGGCUCUCCAACAUCAAAUUUUAAAGCCUAUGUGGCAGCAGGAAGGUCCAGCCUCUUUGAUGGACUGAGCCGAACAGCCUUACAAAGACUGAUUUAUUGAUUGUUACACUAAGUAUUUCCGUAUACCAAGUUCCCUAAUCUAAUUUACAUCUCUUACUAAAGGAAAGCAUCACAGGCCCUCAUGACUUUAGAACUUUAUUAUGUAUCAUUUGCAAUACACAAUAAUAUAAAAGCCUCAGGUGUGCUGAGGCACCUUGUGACCAAAGUCAAGGGAUGGCUGCAACCUCCUUCAGAUAAACAGUUCUACAAAUCACAGAAACAAUCACUGUUUUCCACAAGGAUUCUUUGCUGUUUACCACAAUGAUUCUUCAAAGUUGGGUGUUCAUUCUUAUGUCUGUCCCAGAUACAGUGUCUCUGCUAAAUUCCUACAACAUGACCGCACCUUGGGAAGGACUGGUUGGAUGUGCGCUUCCUUGGUCCUCUAUUCAACUUUGAUCUUACUUCAGGACCCUAAAGUGGACUUGAGAAGUUCGCUGGAUCUCUGUCCUCCCUUCCCAAAAAGUGAUGUAAGUGCACCAAGGCUAGAGUUCUGGUUCUGGCAAGGGCCACAUCACACAGCUCCUGAGCCUCAGCAAGGACACGGAAUAGUACAGGAAGAACUGGCCCUUGUUGGAGUCACAAGGCCAUGGGAGUUUAGCAGGUGGCUCCUGCUCAGCGAUUUAGCCCAGGAUCCGGCGCUCCCUGGUGUGGCCUUCAGCCAAGCUGUACUGGAGACUUCUGCUCAAACCAAGCUAUAGGAAGUCUACAAAGUUCAGAAUCCUGCCUGUGAAAUGGUUCUGGGAUUCACGCAGGACUCAGGACCAUGUUGCUGUCUCAUUCAGAAGAGAUGCACGAUUCUUAGAAAUUGUCCACAGGACCCAUCAUCACGAUGCUGUUCAAUUCCAGCCUCUGCAACUUCAUCACCCCGUGGAAUUGCUAUGAGAAAGCCCUGGGGGGUGUGGCUCUUGCUGCCAAAGGCUAUUUGAAUGACUUGGUAAAGAUGCGGGAACUGGCCACCAGGAGCUGGGUCUCCUGGGAAUUUGGAGACAUCCUCUUCCAGACGACCCAAGUCCAGAACCAGCUAGCUGAGAGGCUGCAGUCUUUUCACCGUGAGCUGCUCGCUCUGCUGCAGCAGAAGGUAGGGCUGCACCCUGGGUAUCUGAGAGCUGUGCUGGAGAAACACCAGGCAGAACAGAGGAGCACAGGAAAUGCCCUGGACAGGAGUGGGGAGCAGCUGGAGAAGCUCAUCAGGAAGAGCCAGGUACACCGACCAUGCUCUGCCUUCUUCAGCAUCAAUUAUUUAACUAAGAUUGCAUUCCUUAUAUAAAAAUAAAUAGGCGCACGCACAUCUUUAGUAUGUUAACACAUGUUCGUCUUUUAUGAAUGCUAAAAUGAUAUGUAUACCAAAGUGUUUUAAAACAAAUUUAUGAUUUAUUAUAAAUAUAUUAUAAGGGAAUGUUUGAUUUGUACAUCUGUUUUAUCUCCCUAAAUAACCUGGGGUCACAUAAAACUUUUUUAAUGAAGAAGAUUGCUCCUAGAAAACUUUGGAAUUCCCCCGAUUUCUCCUCUCUUUCCAAGACCGGAGUGUUUUUAAUUUCAGAGGAAGUGGGCUCCUCCUACAGUCCCAAGGCAACAAAGCACCCAUACUCUAAACGUGGUUGACAAGUGAGCCUGCUAGCCAAGUCUACUCCAUCAGCUGCUCUAAAUGCUUUUAAAAAAACACCUGGUUUUUAAAUAGUUGAAACACUCAAAAAAUAAUACAAUGUGAGAAGUAAAAAUUACAUGUUGUCCUAACUUGAUACAAACUUGGACAUGGAUUCUAACCCAUAAAAGCAACUAAAAUGUUGCUUUUGGUCAUGGUUUCAUCACAGCAAAAUAAAGAAGCAACCUAACACUUAUGGGAUGAAAUGUCCACAUGCAAAAGCUAAGUCUUGUUGGAACACAGCCACACUUAAUUGUCGGCAGUGUCCACGGCUCUACGGUGGCAGAACUGAACGCGUACCGUAGAGACAGCAUGUCCUGAAAAGUCUCCAACAAUGUUUGCCGGCUGGUCCUUUUCAGGAAUCUGCUGGACCCUGUUCUGCAUGAAUUAGGGGUAAUUCUAGUCUCCAUCCACCAUUUGUUACUAUUGUUACCGUUAUUAGUGUUGAGAGGGAAUGAAACCCAGUUUGGGGCCAGUGGACCACAAGGUCAAGCCUGACCUAAAACAGUCAGGGAGGAGAGAGGUGUUUUCCUCCGAUGGAAAGAGGCCUGAGGAUGCUUCCUUCUUACUUGGACAAUGCAUGUAAGGCUGCAACAUACAGAGUUAUGCCAGCUGACUUCGAGUCACUAGGGAAAAGGCAAUCAUGGAAAAAUCUAAGCUGUUAGCCAACCCAGCCCUUCCUACUUCUAGAUAUCUUUUCAUAUACAAAAUGAUGAUUAUCACAGCUUGGGGACUAUGUUACCUGUUGCCAAGUUUGUCCUAAAAUACACGAGGGGAGAAAUUUUUUUUCCGUUAUGACAUGUUCUCUAUUAUUGAUGACUCACAAAACUGUGAGCAGUUAUGAGCAUCAUCUGUAAUUAUUUUGCCACUACAUUUUAUCCUUAAAAAUACACAAGUUUACAGCUCAUGAAAUGUACAUGUGAUCUGACUUUCUGUCCUUCAUUUUUGCAAUACCAUAAAGAUUUCCAAAGAUACGUAAAAGAAACUGCCUCCUUUCAGAGAUUGUUCUAACAACUACUUCAUUGAUGCAAAUCCCCCUUUUCUUUCACAGUUUCAUAGAAAUCCAAAUCUGUUUAUUCUUUCAAUCUCAAAUAUUGGCUGUAAUGAUUCCAAACAAGACUCGAGGGGGUUUGCAACAGAAGUUCUAUAGUGGGUACUGAGACUGUGUAAAUAAAGCAUUAUUUUUCCUCACUUAA